rnacentral:misc_RNA from 1 species
AAGUCGUAACAAGGUCUCCGUUGGUGAACCAGCGGAGGGAUCAUUAAAGAGUGUAAAAAGCUCCCAAACCCAUGUGAAUCUACCACUGUUGCCUCGGCAGGCUGCCUCGGGCGGCCUGCCGACGGACCUCAAAAACUCUUCUGAAUAUUACUUCUCUGAGUACAACUUUUAAAUAAGUAAAAACUUUCAACAACGGAUCUCUUGGUUCUG